UGGGGAAUUUUGCGCAAUGGGGGAAACCCUGACGCAGCAACGCCGCGUGCGGGACGACGGCCUUCGGGUUGUAAACCGCUUUCAGCAGGGAAGAAAUUCGACGGUACCUGCAGAAGAAGCUCCGGCUAACUACGUGCCAGCAGCCGCGGUAAUACGUAGGGAGCGAGCGUUAUCCGGAUUCAUUGGGCGUAAAGAGCGCGUAGGCGGCCUCUCAAGCGGGAUCUCUAAUCCGAGGGCUCAACCCCCGGCCGGAUCCCGAACUGGGAGGCUCGAGUUCGGUAGAGGCAGGCGGAAUUCCCGGUGUAGCGGUGGAAUGCGCAGAUAUCGGGAAGAACACCGAUGGCGAAGGCAGCCUGCUGGGCCGCAACUGACGCUGAGGCGCGAAAGCUAGGGGAGCGAACAGG
rnacentral:rRNA from 2 species